UACUAUGCUUCAAGAAAGAAAGAAAGAAAGAAAUACCGACAGACAGACAGAGAGGAAGGAAAGAGAAGAAAGAAAAUAAUGAAAGAACUUUCCUGGCUGUACAGAAUACAUUAUACAGGUCCUAGGGCAAAAAUAGAGGAACUUCAGGAAAAUAUACUGGAUUAUGCUCUUUUUCCUUAAAUGGUCAGUCCUAUCCUUUGGCUAAUCAGAGAAGAGAAAAGGCUGCAGGCAGAAUACAACCUUCCCCAGGGCAGCAGCUGAGGCACUGUAAUUUCAAAGGCUAGGCAGCAAGUUGGGUAAGAAUUCAGAAAAAGGAAAGUCAAACAUGAAUAGGGCAGCUCCAGCUGGCUGUUGACCAGCUGAUUGCAGAACUUGAGAAACUCCCAGCAGAGAGAUGAAGAAACACGACAUUAACCAGCACUCCAGUUCCAGAGAGCUUUGUUUAAGCCACAGCAGCCCUGCGAAGUCAAAGGUGGGAAUGAGAUCCCGAAAUCAGGGUGGUGAAAGUUCAUCUAACGGGCAUGUCUCCUGCCCCAAGUCCUCCAUCAUCAGCAGUGCUGAUGAUAAAAGUCUCUCGGAAGAUACGAAAAAGAAGAACAAAUCAAAUAGAAAGGAGGAUGAUGUCACGGCCUCAGGAACUGUCAAACGACACCUAAAACCAUCUGGAGAAAGUGAACGAAAGAAUAAGAAAUCCUUGGAGUUAUCCAAAGAAGACCUCAUCCAGCUACUCAGUAUAAUGGAAGGGGAGUUGCAGGCCAGGGAAGAUGUGAUCCACAUGCUGAAGACAGAGAAAACCAAGCCUGAGGUUCUGGAGGCGCACUACGGGUCUGCGGAGCCCGAGACAGUGCUGCGGGUCCUGCACCGAGACGCCAUCCUGGCCCAGGAGAAGUCCAUCGGAGAAGAUGUGUAUGAGAAGCCCAUCUCAGAGCUGGACAGACUCGAGGAAAAACAGAAGGAAACCUACCGGCGCAUGCUGGAGCAGCUGCUGCUGGCAGAGAAGUGUCACCGGCGCACGGUGUACGAGCUGGAGAACGAGAAGCACAAGCACACGGACUACAUGAACAAGAGCGACGACUUCACCAACCUGCUGGAGCAGGAGCGAGAGAGGUUGAAAAAACUCCUUGAACAAGAAAAGGCUUACCAAGCCCGCAAAGAAAAGGAAAACGCUAAGCGGCUCAACAAACUGAGAGAUGAGCUGGUGAAACUCAAGUCCUUUGCACUCAUGCUGGUGGAUGAAAGGCAAAUGCAUAUCGAGCAACUUGGCCUGCAAAGCCAGAAAGUACAGGACCUGACUCAGAAACUGAGGGAAGAGGAAGAAAAGCUCAAAGCCAUUACUUCCAAAUCUAAAGAAGACAGGCAGAAAUUGCUCAAGCUGGAAGUGGAUUUUGAACACAAGGCUUCGAGGUUUUCCCAGGAGCAUGAAGAGAUGAACGCUAAGCUUGCCAAUCAGGAGUCUCACAAUAGGCAACUCAGGCUCAAGCUGGUUGGCUUAACUCAAAGAAUUGAGGAGCUGGAAGAGACCAACAAAAAUCUUCAAAAGGCAGAGGAAGAACUUCAGGAACUAAGAGAGAAAAUUGCCAAAGGGGAAUGUGGCAACUCCAGCCUCAUGGCAGAAGUGGAAAAUCUGCGGAAGCGCGUGCUCGAAAUGGAGGGUAAAGAUGAGGAGAUCACGAAAACGGAAUCCCAGUGCCGGGAACUGAGGAAGAAGCUGCAGGAGGAAGAACACCAUAGCCGGGAGCUCAAACUUGAAGUUGAGAAGUUACAGAAGAGAAUGUCAGAACUGGAGAAACUGGAAGAAGCCUUUAGCAAGAGUAAAUCUGAGUGCACCCAGCUGCAUUUAAAUCUGGAGAAAGAAAAGAACUUAACCAAGGACCUGCUCAAUGAAUUGGAGGUGGUCAAGAGUCGGGUUAAAGAACUGGAAUGUUCCGAAAGUAGAUUGGAAAAGGCUGAAUUAAGCCUCAAAGAUGAUCUGACAAAGUUGAAGUCAUUUACGGUGAUGCUGGUUGAUGAAAGGAAAAAUAUGAUGGAAAAAAUAAAGCAAGAAGAGAGAAAAGUAGAUGGACUCAAUAAAAACUUCAAGGUGGAACAAGGAAAGGUUAUGGAUGUCACUGAGAAACUAAUAGAAGAAAGUAAGAAGCUUUUAAAACUGAAAUCUGAAAUGGAGGAAAAGGUGUACAAUUUGACAAAAGAGAGAGACGAGUUAAUAGGCAAACUGAAAAGUGAAGAAGAAAAAUCCUCUGAAUUAAGCUGCAGUGUUGACUUACUAAAGAAGAGACUUGAUGGGAUAGAGGAAGUGGAGAGAGAAAUAACCAGAGGGAGGUCUCGAAAAGGACCUGAGCUCACCUGCCCAGAAGAUAACAAAAUUAAGGAACUUACCCUUGAAAUUGAGAGGCUGAAGAAACGCCUGCAACAACUGGAGGUGGUCGAAGGGGAUUUGAUGAAGACAGAGGAUGAGUAUGACCAGCUGGAGCAGAAAUUUAGAACUGAGCAGGAUAAGGCGAACUUCCUCUCCCAACAGCUGGAGGAGAUAAAACACCAGAUUGCCAAGAAUAAAGCAAUAGAGAAAGGUGAGGCUGUGAGCCAGGAAGCGGAGCUGAGACACCGAUUUCGGUUGGAAGAAGCUAAAAGUCGAGACUUAAAAGCCGAAGUGCAAGCCCUUAAGGAGAAGAUUCAUGAGUUAAUGAACAAAGAAGAUCAGCUUUCUCAGCUCCAAGUGGAUUAUUCUGUUCUCCAACAAAGAUUCCUGGAAGAGGAAAAUAAGAACAAAAACAUGGGGCAGGAGGUCCUCAAUCUGACCAAAGAGUUGGAGCUUUCGAAGCGUUACAGCCGAGCUCUCAGGCCCAGCGUGAACGGGAGGAGAAUGGUGGAUGUUCCCGUGACGUCCACCGGCGUCCAGACGGAUGCCGUCAGCAGUGAGGCGGCGGAGGAGGAGACGCCGGCGGUGUUCAUCCGGAAAUCCUUCCAAGAAGAGAAUCACAUCAUGAGUAAUCUUCGGCAGGUGGGGCUGAAGAAGCCUAUGGAACGAUCCUCUGUUCUGGACCGGUAUCCGCCAGCGGCCAACGAGCUCACCAUGAGGAAGUCUUGGAUUCCGUGGAUGAGAAAAAGGGAAAACGGGCCCCCGAUGACUCAAGAGAAAGGGCCUCGAACAAGCUCCAGUCCGGGGCACCCGGGAGAGCUGGUCCUUUCCCCGAAGCAGGGCCAGCCCCUGCACAUCCGAGUGACCCCAGACCACGAGAACAGUACCGCGACUUUGGAGAUAACCAGCCCGACGUCCGAAGAAUUUUUUUCUAGUACCACCGUCAUUCCUACCUUAGGGAAUCAGAAACCAAGGAUCACCAUUAUUCCAUCACCAAAUGUCAUGUCUCAAAAGCAAAAAGGUGGCGAUGGCCCUCUUGGCACAGAACGAUCCAUGUCCCCAGUCACAAUUACUACCUUUUCCAGAGAGAAGACCCCAGAAAGUGGAAGAGGUGCGUUUGCGGACAGGCCCACCUCCCCGAUCCAGAUCAUGACGGUGUCCACGUCCGCGGCACCAGCUGAGGUCGCCGUCUCUCCCGAAUCCCAGGAAAUGCCCGUGGGAAGGACUGUCUUCAAAGUCACCCCAGAAAAGCAGACUGUUCCAACUCCAGUCCGGAAAUACAACUCCAAUGCCAAUAUCAUAACCACGGAAGACAAUAAAAUUCACAUUCACUUGGGUUCUCAGUUUAAACGAUCCCCGGGGACGUCGGCCGAAGGAGCAAGUCCGGUUAUCACUGUCCGACCUGUCAGUGUGACGGCUGAGAAGGAGGUGUCCACUGGCACCGUCCUGCGCUCUCCCAGGAACCAUCUCUCGUCGCGCCCUGGCGGGAGCAAAGUCACCAGCACCAUCACCAUCACACCUGUCACAACCUCAUCCGCCCGAGGAACCCAGUCAGUGUCAGGACAAGACGGGUCAUCCCAGCGGCCUACACCCACCCGCAUUCCUAUGUCAAAAGGUAUGAAAGCAGGAAAGCCAGUAGUGGCAGCCCCAGGAGCAGGAAAUCUGACCAAAUUCGAGCCUCGAGCUGAGACUCAGUCUAUGAAAAUAGAGCUGAAGAAGUCUGCAGCCGCCAGCACCGCCUCUCCCGGAGGGGGGAAGGGCUGAGGGCAGCGGCUGGGGGUAUGUUGUGCAGACGCUGCUGCUGCCGUGAGAACCGACCGGCGUCCGUUUGUGCCAGCUCUUUCCGUGUACUAAUUUAAGUUUUUAAUUUCUUGUUCAUAAAAUAAUCAACUAAUAGCCCCGUGUCUUUCCUAUUUUGUGAAUGUGUUUUGAUGCUGGGGAAGAGGACUAACCGGCAAUACUGCUGCGUGCGGUGUGCUUUGGGGAGGAGGCGGGGCCUGACUUCCAGACCCGGGUUUGCUUCUAGGAAGUGGCCCCAUCAGUCAACCCUGUAAGACAUGGGGGCUGGGUCACAUCCUCUCCAAAGCCGACUCCAUAUUUCCUAAUUAUAAAUCAAAUUUAAUAGGCCUUGUUUCCCCAAUGAUUGAAUUUUCAAAAACCCUUUUAUGAAAUAGGAAAUAGUUUGACAAGUGUCAUUUGCCUCUGUCCAAUUCCAAACUUGCUUCAUGUGAUGGAAAAAAACAAAAAACAAAAAACCCCCAAAAAACCGAAAACCAAAACCACCUAGUUAUCACAGGGCCUGGGCCUCUAAAGUUUUGAGGAAAAAAAAAAAAAGCCUCUGAGAUAAUUUCAGGAAGCAAUUUGAAUGUGAAAUAAAAUGGAAAUGAAAUACAGACUCCUAAAAACAGAGUUUUACUUAUUUGUGUGCCUGUGUGUAUUACAAAGAUUUUGGAAUUUCAGAACCAUCAUUGUUAGACUCAUGCUCUAUUCAAGGGUGCUAUUAAUGUAAAUUGUGGAGCUGUUUGAAUAGAGCUGCCAAACGGCCCUUUAUAGCUCAACAGAGGUUGUAAUGGAUUAAAAAAAAAAAAAGCAGAAAGUAAAUUUUGAUACAUUGUUGCCAAGAAAUAAAAUGACAUCAUGCAUAGCUUAAUGGAAUUGAAACAUUUUCACAGUUAAGUGUGGAGUUUAUGCCCAAGUAUAGAACCAGUUCAUGAUUGUGUGUGUGCACAUGUGCAUGUGUGGUGAAGUGUAUUAUGAUGACUUGUGUUUGUAUCUUUGUCAUUAAUUUUAAGCAUGUUUUAAUAAGCAUGAACAGUAUGUGGAUACAAAAUACCAGGUAUCUGUGAGAAAAUUAACCAUGUUAAAGUGGAUGCGAUGCUUCGUAGUCAAAUAACCACCAAUGAGCUCAAGGCUAGCAAUCCCUGGCUUAGCAUCUGAGGUCUAGGGUAGGCAGCACCUUUGUCAAAAUCUUUGAGCCAAUGGAGUGAACUUUACAACAACACAAUAGGUGCAAAGUUACAGUUUGGUAUUUUCCACUUCUGAAUUGUGAGGUUCCAAAACCCCUCACAAUUAGUCCCUGCUCUUGAUAGUUGGGAAAAGGUAAUAUUUUUUCAAAAAGAUGCACAAUUGGUUUUUAGUCCAGGAAACAUCCUGCUUCGUAGUAAAGAGGCUGUCCUCUGAGCUGUUUCCACCCUGGACUUCCUGUCCCUUGCAGAACCUGGGCUUGAAUUGUGUGUGAUGGAGGUGGACACCUCCCAGUGUUCACGUUCACUUCAUCAGAGCACGGUUGCCUACAGCUUAUCAAUUGUCAGCAGCUGUAUUUAAAAACGCUGAGCAAUCACGGUAGACGCGCCUUAAUAAUUAAAAUUUCAAGGUAGAAGGAGAGGGAGACUUAAAAAAAAAAAGACUUUCUGAACUAUAAUUUUGAACGAGUUUAAACAAGAGAUCUUGCCAUUUUGAAUACUGGCUUAUGUUCCUUUAAAAGGGAAUUUUCCCCUUUUGUAAAGUGGGCAUCAUCUCUUUGGAAAACAGACUCCCAACUGUGUUUCAAACGCCUCCCUGGCAUCCAGGGUAUUUAAUGUUAUUGUACCAUGAUGCCCGGGCUUUGAGUAAACGAAGGUGUCAAAUGCACAAAACGCUGCAUUCCUUUUGACUCUCCCUGCCCUUCUUCAGUGACUUUUAUCCUAAUCUACUGUCACUGCUGUUGUUUUUGCUGUUUUUACCUGCUCACACCAUGCUUCCACCGGUUCUGCCUGGAAGUCCAUACCAUCCUCAGGGAGAGUGCUGCAGAAGGCUUAACAGUGCGUGUGCAGGAUGUUGCUACAUCUGGAUCUUGGAAUGCAGCCACCUGCAAAGCACAACUGCUAAGAAAACUUGGCAGCCCAACCCAUAUUCACUUUUCAGAAAUGAUAAAGAGCAGCCGCUGUGGCAGUUUUUCUUUGUAAUUUUAGAACCAACUCUACGUUUAUUGGAUAGCCUUGUUUUAAACUACAUAUUAGAAAGGAAAUCCACUGGGGACAGGAGGUGGAGAAUUCAAUGCACUCCAACUCCGGCUUCUAUUUAAAGCAUCAUCAUCCACCAGUUACGUAUGAACUCCAGAUGAAAUGGUAAACCAAGCACAUACUGGGUGUGUGUACUUCCUCUGCAUCCCUGUUGAAUGGAUAGUAUUUCUACAGCUCUCCAUCAUCAUUAAGGUCCUCCAUGCUACUGAUCGCUACUGGAAAUAAUUUUCUACUUCCAGUGAAUUUUUUUUUGAGGAUAUAAAUGGAAAAACUGAAAACGGUGUUGCUGAUAAUAUAAAAAUAGUUGGCAAGAGCAGUUCAAUCUUGGCGUCAAAAGGAACUUCUCCUCCUUUUGCAAAGCUUUCAGGUCCAUGGGCACAUGCUAUGUAAUUUAUUUUUAUAAUACACUUUGUAAUGUGAUUUGUUUUUCCUAAAGUGUUUCCUUUUUCAUAGUCUAUGGCACAUAUAUCUGUAGAAUACAUUGUCAGUUCUUCAAAUGCAUUGCUAUUAGGGUAUUCAAAAAGGUGACCUAUACUUACUUUUAUCAAUUUGUUGUUUCUGGAAAAAAAAAAAGUGAAACACUCUAUAUAUUUCCUGGGGCAAAUUCAAGAAGUAAAACCAAAGCAGGAGAUUCUGGGAGAGGUAUUACUAUUACUUGCACGAUGCUGUGGUUCUGAUUAUGGUUCAACACUAACAAGUAACACUCUGAUUAAAGAGUUUAAAUUUAAAGACUUAAGCCAGUUUUUAAAGUUGCUCUUUCUGGCAUUCUGUGCCAAAAUCUCUGGAUGAAUUGCUUUUCAUAUGGAACAAGUUGGUAGGAGGGGCGGUAUGAGUUGAACCAGUUAAGUGUUAUUGGAUCAGCUUCUACUGACAGGUCAAUUAUCUUUCUGUUUGCAUUAUUUGCUUAUAUGCACAGGACUUAUAAUAAGAACUGUGAUUUCAGGAUAUUUCUCACAAUCUAAUCCAAAUGAAAGCCUGAAAAUAAAAACCAACCUAGAUAGUAUCAGCAUCUUUUAAAAAAUUGGUAAAGGAAAUCCCUAGAUAACAUUUUUUUCUUGGUAGGAUUUGGACAGGUUUUCAUAACCACAUACAGGUUAGAAAAUAUAUUCUUUAAAAAUUCAAAGCCACAACAUACGUUACUCAAAUCUCAGUGUCAGACCUGCUGUUGAAUUUUGGUUUCUGUGAAAAUUUGCAUUUAAAUCUACUUGGAAUCCUAAGAGUACAGGUUUUUUUUUUUUAAAGACUUUGUUAAUGUGGACAUGUUUUCAAUAAGGUCUUUAAAAAGAUCAUUUUAAAGAUCAGUGAAGAGUUGAUACAUCAAUUUCUAGAUGCAGAAAUCACGUAUCCUGUCACUUUCCUGAGAGUGAAGAAAGAAUGCUUCUGAGGGUCACGCAGAUAACUAGAAAGCACACGAGUAACACUGUUGGCCCAUUUCUCAGUCCACAAGUUGUACCCGGGUUCAUAAGGCCAUAGAGAGGGGUCUGCACUGAAUCUCAGGAACAGAAAAAUUAGUGUUGGAUUUCCUUCCCUCUGUAUCUUUGGAAGGUUUUAAGUAUACCUCGUGGAAUUGGCAAAUCAUAUUCAGCAGGUAUUAUAAGUUAAACAACUAUAUUUUAUGUAAAAUUAGCUUUGAUUUUUGUGAGGAAACGAAAUGCUACAGUAGGCUUGUCUCAGCAUGAAUGAUUGUGAAUGCAUCACAGAACCUGCAGGGCUUUCGUUACUGAUUAAGAAAACUAGAGUGUGUCUGUGUGAAGAUUUAAAAAUUUGUUCUGAUGGGUUUUGAUUUCUGAAAGUGCGUCUGAACUGUAAUGACAGUUUCAAUUAGGAAAGGGUUUAGUCUUGUUACAUUUAUUGACUCACAGUUAAGUCCCCUAUUUGCCACUGCUUACAUGUCUGAUGGCAAAAAUAUUCUGAUCUAUCACAAGCAAAUAACUUUCUCAACGUGUGGGAACUUUAUUACACUAAUAGUGAAAAGGUUAGAGGGUAAGAUUAUUUAAAUAAUUCCUGGUUAUAAUUUAAAACGUUACAAGUAAUUUAUGUAUAUUUGGAUCUAAAGUUUUUAUUUCCCCUGAGUUUGUAAUGAAAUUCGGUACUUGCAGUGCAGAGUGAGGAUGAUGGUGCAAUCAAAGUCACUUAGAUGGAUGGUGCCUUUUUCUGCCCAUGCUAUGCUUAAGUCCUCUGUUUAAACUCACGUGGAAUCUGAGUGACAGAUGUGUAAAAUGAAUCUAAAUUAAUUUAAAAAACUAAUGGUCCUGAAAUAAAUAAUAGAGUAUUAAAAAUAAAACAACCAGAUUGUAAACAGUCAUAUUCCAAUACCAACAUCCAAUUGAAACAAUUGCCCCCAUGUGCAAUCCUGGCACCAUCUUAGGCUCACAUAAUUUCUACAUCUUUUAUUGUAAAUAAAUUUCCAAUCAUCAGUAUGAAUGAGAAUCAGUUUUGAAUGGAGUAAUUAUGUUUUCUGAAACAUAGUCAUAAUUAGUGUUUCCAGCUUAAGGCACAAUUGAAUUAAUCCAUUAUUCAGCCCUUUUCUUUUUGAUGAGAGAGUGGUUUUUGAGGGAAUAUGCUGCAAACAUGUUUUUUCAAGUAUUUCAUAAAAUAUUAGGGUUUGAUGAAGAUAGUGGUAGAAUAAAUAUUCCAGAUAUUAGAUGCCUGGAAUGUUCACGAAAUAUGAAGAAUUAAUUGUAUCUUAGGACAACCACUUAAAAAAAUUCAUGGUGCGGAAAAGCUAGCUUAAACACACGCAGACACACGAAAUUAUUCACAGCUUCUAAAAAUCAGUGAUGAAGCAAAAGUAAAUGGUGUAUCAGACAAUGUAAUAUGGUUUGUGUCUUUUCUUUUGAUACUGUGGUUGAAUUUUCCUGGAAAUAAAAAGAAUAGCAAAAGUAGGGUGUGGUCAUGAAUCUGAUGAGCAACAAUUCUAAAAAGUAACAAAAAUGCGAAAUGGAAGUUUUAGAAAAACACAUCUGGCACCCGAGGCAUAUAUCCCCCUCCAGACUCCAGUGCUGUGCCUCUGCUAAAAAUAUGAAUUAGAGGGCAAAGAGGAAAAACAAUAAAAAUUGUUGUGAUAAAUUCAUAAACAUCGGGAGAGUUUUGUGGAAUUCAUUUUGCUUAGUGGCUAUUAAAGUUUUACUUUCUAAAGUUUUUAGUGUUUACUCCAUAACUAGAUGAUGAAAACUGUGUUUGUUACCUAGGAAAAAUACCAUAGAUUCAUAAAUUUGGACAGAAGUGUUUAAAGGUGCCAUGACAUGAUACAUUGAUUUUCUGGUGUUGUUUUCUUUUUGUUUAUGUUAUUUGGGUAAUUUUACCUCACCAUUCACAGAUUUUGUUAUUUUAACAGUUUAGAUUUGUAUUUAUUUAGAUUUUGCUUUAAAAAUAUCAGAUGUUAGUUUCUCCAAUGUAAGAGGCUUAUAAUGUGAUCAGAUAUUCUUUGAAGUCUUGCAGGUUUAAUGGAUUUUCAAAAGCAAAAGAUUGCAUUGAGAAAUUCUGGAGCUACGUUCUAUUUUCACAGCAGUCUCAAUUUUGUCUCUUUUAAGUUUUAUUAAAUCCAUGAGAAGUUUAUCAUUUUUCACUACAGCCGAGUGAAUUUAUGGAUAUGUACUUGUCUUUUAUAUGAAUGUAAUAUCCAACUUUCAGUUCUUCACGGGCUAUUGAAAUUAUUUAACCCAUUAAGAUAUUCUCUGUGUUAUCUCCCAAGUCAACCGUGUUUAUCAAAAUCUCACCAGAGUGAGAAAAACAAUUGUGAUAUGAAAGCAUUGUGCAAUAUUCUUUUUUGAGUUGGAACAUAAUAUCCAUCACAUUAAAAUCAUUUAAAAUGA